GAUGAACGCUAGCUACAGGCUUAACACAUGCAAGUUCGAGGGGCAGCAUGGUCUUAGCUUCGCUAAGGCCGAAGGCGACCGGCGCACGGGUGAGUAACACGUAUCCAACCUGCCGUCUACUCUUGGACAGCCUUCUGAAAGGAAGAUUAAUACAAGAUGGCAUCAUGAGUCCGCAUGUUCACAUGAUUAAAGGUAUUCCGGUAGACGAUGGGGAUGCGUUCCAUUAGAUAGUAGGCGGGGUAACGGCCCACCUAGUCUUCGAUGGAUAGGGGUUCUGAGAGGAAGGUCCCCCACAUUGGAACUGAGACACGGUCCAAACUCCUACGGGAGGCAGCAGUGAGGAAUAUUGGUCAAUGGGCGAGAGCCUGAACCAGCCAAGUAGCGUGAAGGAUGACUGCCCUAUGGGUUGUAAACUUCUUUUAUAAAGGAAUAAAGUCGGGUAUGGAUACCCGUUUGCAUGUACUUUAUGAAUAAGGAUCGGCUAACUCCGUGCCAGCAGCCGCGGUAAUACGGAGGAUCCGAGCGUUAUCCGGAUUUAUUGGGUUUAAAGGGAGCGUAGAUGGAUGUUUAAGUCAGUUGUGAAAGUUUGCGGCUCAACCGUAAAAUUGCAGUUGAUACUGGAUAUCUUGAGUGCAGUUGAGGCAGGCGGAAUUCGUGGUGUAGCGGUGAAAUGCUUAGAUAUCACGAAGAACUCCGAUUGCGAAGGCAGCCUGCUAAGCUGCAACUGACAUUGAGGCUCGAAAGUGUGGGUAUCAAACAGGAUUAGAUACCCUGGUAGUCCACACGGUAAACGAUGAAUACUCGCUGUUUGCGAUAUACUGCAAGCGGCCAAGCGAAAGCGUUAAGUAUUCCACCUGGGGAGUACGCCGGCAACGGUGAAACUCAAAGGAAUUGACGGGGGCCCGCACAAGCGGAGGAACAUGUGGUUUAAUUCGAUGAUACGCGAGGAACCUUACCCGGGCUUAAAUUGCAGAUGAAUUACGGUGAAAGCCGUAAGCCGCAAGGCAUCUGUGAAGGUGCUGCAUGGUUGUCGUCAGCUCAUGCCGUGAGGUGUCGGCUUAAGUGCCAUAACGAGCGCAACCCUUGUUGUCAGUUACUAACAGGUUCCGCUGAGGACUCUGACAAGACUGCCAUCGUAAGAUGUGAGGAAGGUGGGGAUGACGUCAAAUCAGCACGGCCCUUACGUCCGGGGCUACACACGUGUUACAAUGGGGGGUACAGAGGGCCGCUACCACGCGAGUGGAUGCCAAUCCCCAAAACCUCUCUCAGUUCGGACUGGAGUCUGCAACCCGACUCCACGAAGCUGGAUUCGCUAGUAAUCGCGCAUCAGCCACGGCGCGGUGAAUACGUUCCCGGGCCU
rnacentral:rRNA from 1 species